rnacentral:rRNA from 1 species
GAUAAACGCUGGCGGCGUGCCUAACACAUGCAAGUCGAACGAUCCCGCAAGGGAGAGUGGCGGAAGGGUGAGUAACACGUGGGAAUCUACCUCCUCGCAGGGAACAACCUCUCGAAAGAGAGGCUAAUACCCAAAAGGGUACAGAAAUGAUCAGAGUCGAAAGGCGUGAGGAGAGGAGCCCGCGGCCCAUCAGCUAGUUGGUGAGGUAAUGGCUUACCAAGGCUACGACGGGUAGGGGAUCUGAGAGGAUGUCCCCCACACUGGAACUGAAACACGGUCCAGACGCUUACGGGUGGCAGCAGUGAGGAAUAUUGGACAAUGGGCGAAAGUCCGAUCCAGCAACGCCGCGUGGAGGAUGAAGGCCUUCGGGUCGUAAACUUCUUUAGAGGGAGACGAGAAAGGACGGUAUCCCUAGAAUAAGCGACGGCAAACUACGUGCCAG